rnacentral:rRNA from 1 species
AGUACGAGAGGACCGGGACGGACGAACCUCUGGUGUGCCAGUUGUCCUGCCAAGGGCAUGGCUGGUUGGCUACGUUCGGAAAGGAUAACCGCUGAAAGCAUCUAAGCGGGAAGCCUGCUUCGAGAUGAGUAUUCCCACCACCUUGAGUGGUUAAGGCUCCCAGUAGACGACUGGGUUGAUAGGCCAGAUGUGGAAGCCCGGUAACGGGUGGAGCUGACUGGUACUAAUAGGCCGAGGGCUUGUCCU